rnacentral:rRNA from 1 species
UACGUAGGGGGCAAGCGUUGUCCGGAAUUAUUGGGCGUAAAGCGCGCGCAGGCGGUCAUUUAAGUUUGGGGUCUAAGCCCGAGGCUCAACCUCGGAUCGCCCUGAAAACUGGGUGACUGGAGUGCAGGAGAGGGAAGCGGAAUUCCACGUGUAGCGGUGAAAUGCGUAGAGAUGUGGAGGAACACCAGUGGCGAAGGCGGCUUCCUGGCCUGUAACUGACGCUGAGGCGCGAAAGCGUGGGGAGCGAACAGG